rnacentral:lncRNA from 1 species
AUAGUUGUCCAUCGCUUUUGCCAAGGCAUCUCUCCAUUUUCCCAACUCUUUAUUGAGAAUUUUCCACCUACUAGAUAAUGUCAUCUCAGUAUGAGUAGACCCCGGAAUUUUUUCACGAAAUUCGGCAUGAAUUUUUUUUCCACAUAUGAAAAAAUUUCAUCUCAUUGCCGGAAACGGGACAAUGACAAAUUUGGAGCCAAGCCUCACACAAGGAAACAUCUUCC